GGGGAAUAUUGCACAAUGAGCGAAAGCUUGAUGCAGCGACGCCGCGUGAGGGAUGACGGCUUUCGGGUUGUAAACCUCUUUCGGCAGGGAACAAGUCCAGGUUUUGGCCUGGUUGAGGGUACCUGCAUAAGAAGCGCCGGCUAACUACGUGCCAGCAGCCGCGGUAAUACGUAGGGCGCGAGCGUUGUCCGGAAUUAUUGGGCGUAAAGAGCUCGUAGGCGGCUUGUCGCGUCUGCUGUGAAAACGCGGGGCUUAACUCCGCGCUUGCAGUGGGUACGGGCAGGCUUGAGUGUAGUAGGGGAGACUGGAAUUCCUGGUGUAGCGGUGGAAUGCGCAGAUAUCAGGAGGAACACCGAUGGCGAAGGCAGGUCUCUGGGCUAUAACUGACGCUGAGGAGCGAAAGCAUGGGGAGCGAAC
rnacentral:rRNA from 1 species